rnacentral:lncRNA from 1 species
CGCAGAUCAAAAACUUUUCCUUAUUUUUAACCACACAUUUCCCAUCAAUACACUAUUUAAGAAUGCAUUAUUACCAAAAUAAUGUGGCUCAAACACCCCCUAAAUCACUAUUUCAAAAUGUAUAUUUUGCACACAAAAAAAAAGACAUCAAACAAGCUCUUAAUAUUUUAUUGCGGCUGACGGUCAACGGUCGCCCGUGCUGGAUCAAUAUCUUGGAUUCGCCACUGCUACUAGUAAUAUAAAAAAAUCUUUAAAGUCACUAAAUAACAAAUGAAUAAUACUAUCAGUAAAAGGAUCCAUCUGAAUUCUACUAAGCAACGGAGUUGAAAUGAUAUUUAACGUCAGACUCUGAAUCAUUUGGCACAAAUGGGAGCAUCACUUUUGCCAGACAUAGGAACUCCCGAACUCCACCAAGCAAUUUAGAGACUGCUGCAAGUCUUGAAACUUCUUUCCAACAAAUAGAUGGAUGAUUUAGUAUCUCUACGUUUAUUCACUCCUCUGUCUAUUUAAGAAUCCCCUGCACAUAAGAAAUGGAGAACGUGUGAAGGAAGAGUGACAGAAACCUUUCAUAUUUGUGUGCGUGAAAUUGUGAGGAUGGUUUGUAGAAGAGAAGCUGUGGGGAUAUGUAGCUGAAACAGAUAUACAACAUGAUGCCAUAUGUCACUGGCACUGAUAACUGCUGCAAACUAUGCCACUAAUGAAAGGAACUAAAUGUUACACUUGAACAUGGUUAGAGGCACGCUGUAUGUACAUUAUAUUUAGGUGUUCUGAAACGGGAAAAUUUAAUGAGGGCUUCAAGGAUUGAUUUACUAUGUGGAAACUGGAAAGUGGAUUUUGAAUAUCUAAGGUACUGUACCUUGUAAAAAUUGAGAUUACUGUAAUCACAAACAAUUACACACCAUUAAGAGUCAUACUGCUUCACCUAAAAAAUAGUAUGAUUUUAAUUUUCACUACAUAUUCCAGGUAAGUAAAAAAAUGCAUACGAGCUCCCGCUAAGAACGUGAUGAGUGUGAAACUUAGAGAGCUUUCAUUUCCAGGCCGGGGCUUUUGCUACUAACGUAUCUGUAGUGAUUCUCAGAGUUCUACAAGGAGUCUAACCGAGCCGCAAUUCAGUAUGAAUUGAGUAAGGCUAGUACCGAUCCUCCCUGACCCGCUAUUCCCCAACCUGAGAUUCUCUUUUUCAUUUUCUCCAGUAGAGGAAUUUAUUCUCUUGAGAGACAAGAAAACAAAUCCAAUUCUCUUAUUUCGAUCAAGAGAAGUAGAAAAGAGAGCAGGUCUAGGAGGCCUAGACAUUGCUAGGAGGCCUAGAUAUUGCAUCAUGUGAAAGCAGCGCUAAAAGACCAUUGCAGCAUCAAUAGAUAAUUCGUGCUGACUCUGCCAAAAAAAGACCAGAUAAAAUUGGGUCCAGGAAAAAUCAGGUUAAAUCAAAGAAUCAAUGACACUUAAUACGGGGUUGAUAUAGACUUGCUAAAUCACCUGAACAUACACCACCAAAAAGCUAUAAGAAGCAAGAUUAAUACUCAUGGAAGAACAGAUUGAUUGAUUUCACACUGACAUAAGCAGGAUACAAUAUGCCAAAACAAUAAAUAUUAGAAAUGCUGCAAUGAUAAUUCCCUAGAUAGAUAUUAAAUGAAGGAGAUGACUAUAGCUAUAAAAUCAAAAAGCCAAAAGUACAGCGAGGGAUGAGAGAAGGAUGAAGUUGCCCAUGCUCGAACAUCUCGACAGAAGGAAAUGUUAAAACUUAAUGUGAAAAUAUAGUCAAAUAGGGUGCCUCAGACAAUACCUUGAAGUGGAAGGAUUAGUAAAAUUUUGCAGCAUUAAUAUCUUUAUAACUAAACAAUCCUUAAUCAAAAAACAAGGUCGCGAAAUCCACAAUAGAUACAGUGAAUAGAGCAUAUUCAGUACCCAUGCCUAACCUAGAAAAAAUGUAAUAAACAAGGUAGGUUGGAAUGAUGAAGAUUCUAUGCUAUCAAAAGAUGCCUACCAACUUAAAUGGUAAGCAUCAGACGAACUAUACUUUACAUUACUGUGUUACCUAUGUACAAAAAUGCCAAAGCUCUUACAUAAAUGAGAAUGUAAAAAUGGAUGUAUGGUUGUAUUAAGAAUAUACUCCAACUAAUGGAGGUUAAAUCAAAUUAAAGGAAUGAAGAGUUAGAUGGUUAAGGCGUAUCUUAGUAGACCUAGAGACAAUUCACAAGAGACAUGAUCUGUGUAAAAUUAGUUAGAAUACAAAGAAGUAAGCGAAAUUACAUUGCUAGAGGCGGUCACAAAUAUUCCAUUGGACCUAGAUGUAAUGUAAUCAUACCAAUUGGCAAGAAGGGACAUGUUUAGCUGCCACCAAAUUUAAUAAAAUGGCAGUUGUUUCUGGUUAUUAGGGUUAAGAUAACAGCAGAAAGUAGCUUCGACUAGAAGGAAGAUAGAAGGCCUGGAUAACAAUCAUUUACAUGAUUUCAUGCUCAUUAAGGCAGUAGACAUUUAUCUUACUGAAUAAUUAUGGAUAGUAGAACAUCAAUGAAAAUACCUUUGGGCAUAAAUAUUAUUAUUGCUGCAUGUAUACUGUCUUCACUCAAAUGCUUUCAUUCAACAAUCUAUCAGCCUAAUAAUUUUACCAUGUUUUCUGUACCACAUCUGAAGUCAUGUCUACUUAUGAAAGUGGAAAAGGAGAGGUAGAAGAUUUUGUGUCUUGAAGACAAAACCUAAUACAACAAGCGUGAAUAAUAAAAACAUUAGAUAUAAAAAAUGCUUAUUAGAAAAGAUGGAAAGAAAAUAGAUUUCGAGUCAAUCAAAAGAUAACGCAUGUUAAAACCUGCCAACGUCACUUCUAGUUGAAUAUGUCCCACAUAAUCUCGCCACACGUGGCUCCACGUGACCAACCCAUUGUAGCCAUUGGGCUACUCCGAAUCACCCUACAUUUUGGCUGAUGCCCUUAUGCCGAGCCACCUUUGCAAUCUAGCCCAAGCCGAAGCCCAUUUCGCCGAGGUAGAGUCCUCCGAAGCCCUAUUGCUGAGGCAGAAGCCUCCAAGCAUCUUUUACUUCACUUCUUCCAAGAAAUCUUCUUUUACACAGAAAUCUUAUUCGAAUGACUGAGAGGAUAUUUGUCAUGACUGUAAAUGUUAAGUCUUAUCAACAAAGUCGUAGCUCUGUUUGAAUAAUAAAUGUAUAGCAAGCUAGCAAGCCAAAGGGUGAUGUCUAGGAUUAGAUGUUUGAAGUAAGGAGGUGAGACUACAUGUAUCAUCAUCCAAGGGUCACCAUUUCACUUGUACCAUUAUAAAUACUCCCCCAUGUAACCCUUUUGAAACUAAUGCAACUUUGAAUACUAAUUACUACUCUUCAUUUCCUCUCUUGCACAAAAAUUGCGUUUACUUCACAUUAGUUCAUUGCAAUUGGUAAUUAUUGCACAAUCAUUUCGUAAAUAUAUCGCCGGAUUCCGAACAUGUUUGUCUCGUGUUAAAAAGCUGCCCCCACCCCCUGUUUUCUGGGAAGCUCUUGACCAUUGGUUUGUCCUUGCAUGUUGGAAUCAGCUUACAUGUAUGCGAAUGGAUCCAACAUCCGUUGUCUACGUGGCCCUAUCUGAAAUCGAGGUCAACAUAAUCCAUGAGUAAUACACUUCAGUUAUUAAAAUUGCUACUUCCAUAGGAACAUGUCCACUAGUAAGAAACUUAUAAACGAAAAUUCAGACUGUCAGAGUUGAUAUAGAUGUAUCAACUACACAUUGAAAAAUAAUAUGCAUUUGAUAGAUAAAUGCUUUCAACCCCUCAUCAUAUAGAAACGUGAGCGAACAAGGUAUCCAGCCAAUAAAAUGAUAAAAUCCAAAGAUAACGGGUAGUACAGGGAUCAAAAAUUCAUGAAAUGUCAUUUCUCAAGAUGCAGGAGUGGCAUAACAUGAAUGAUUUAAAACAAACGAAAUGUGUACAAAAAAAAGGUUCUAGGAGAUAUACAGUAGCUUAGAGUUGUGAACCACAAUCAUCUCUUUCGAAGUUCCCAAAUAAUUUGAGACAGCUUUUGCAGAAAUGCAAUUGAAACAAUAAGAAAAGCAUCAGAAAACUCUAAAACCUUCAACAAGAACAAGAAGACAUAAAUUUUUAAGCAAUUUUAACCCAAAGUCUCAUAAAAAACUCCACAAAAUAUGAUUUACAUCUAGAUAAACUCUACAGAAUUCUGUUAGAGCUCAUUAGUUCUAAUGACCCAAAAUUUGAAUGUUAACCAGUUGCAGUUAAAAAAUUUUAACAAAGAAAGAAACCUUAAGCACAAUUCAGAAAAAAAUAACAAAUAUAGAAACCUUAAGCGAGGUAAAAAUUUUCUGUAACAAGUUGAUUGUCAACAAAAAGGUAAAAAAGUUGAAUCGCACCUGUGCUGCUUUUUAGUUUAGAUACAUGAAUUAAUUGAUCUCAUGAGUUCCAAUAUUUUGAUACUUUAGACUCAUAAUGCAUAUACACUGCAUAAAUGAAAUAAUUUCUUCAUAAAUCACAAAUAAAACAUAAUAAAUGAAACACAAUUUAAUGGCUUAAGCAGCAAUUUCUACAUUACACAUGUUGCAAAGAGUCUUUCUUUUCCUUCUUUCUAUCCCAUUCUAUAGUUAUAGAAAACUCAAGAAUUUCCUUUAUCUUUAGGAUGUGCACGAACAAGCUAUAUGUGCGCAAAAUGACCACAUCCUAAGUGUCAAAAGGAAAACUGAUGCAUGUUCAACAAUUAGUCUUUGGAAGAAUUAAAAGUGUAAAUUUUUUGUCGACCUUUUCCAGAAUACAAUUUCAGCAGAAAAGGAUCAAAUUCAAUGCACUUGUAAGAAAUAUGCUUCUCUGAAAUAACUUUCAAUCAAAUAGAUAAGAGCAUACAAAUUGAACAUGUCAAGGCUCAGAAGUAUUGGUGUUUCUUUUCCAUGUCAAAGGAAAUGGAAACUUUCCAUGAUUGGAUGGGAACAUGUAGAAUUUUUGAACCAUGUUAACAUAGAAUCCAAAAUUCAAAAUUCAAACUCAUAUGCCCCUAUAUCUAUUCACCUGAAUCCAGAAAUGUUAAAUAAUGACACAGCCUAAGUAUCUGCUAACAUAACUGGCAAACUUUGUUGAAAGAGUCUAAGCCAAACCAAUAAAAACUUUUAGAACUAUACACGAGAGAAAUUAAAUUUGGUAUCAUUUAUUUGCAAAAAUUUUGACAUUUUUAAUAAGAUCCAUCAAAAUUCCAAUAGAAAAAACAAAAUGCUCUCAGAAUUUGCCAAAAGAAAUAAAGGUGGGGGGUGGGGGUGGGGGGUGGGGGGGGGGGAACGGCAACAAAGUCAUAAAGAAGAAGAAAAAUAAUUGCUUUCCACAAAAAUUUCUUUAUUAGUCAUUUCUUGCGUCUUGAUUAUUUGUAUGUAAAACUAAAAUUAAAAAGCUCAGAAUUUAAACAAUAAAUAGACGUACGCAAAGAGAGACUCAAAUUGAAUUAACCUAUUUCCAUAUUUUCUUGAAGCAAAAACUAUCAAAUCAAACAUAUAUUGGCCAAGAUCUGCUCAAAUAGAAUAGUCGUUAAUUAUUUGAGUAAUUCAAUCACAUUCAGCUGAAAACAAAUCAAAUCAAAACCUACAACAGAACCUAAUAAAGAAAUACAUAAAUAGAUCUAUGAGAAUAAGACGAAAUUGCGUCCCGUGAUUAUAACAUUCACCGCGGUCUCUAAUUCGCUUAGUGCAAGGCGGGAACCUGAUAUUUCGCCAAAUAACGACAUCAAUUAAUAAGUUCAUAUAUUGUUAUUCAUACAGUUAUGCAUAUGCCCGAUUUUGGAGCGCAAUAUUCACGAGAAACGACAUCGCCGGCGAAGAAAAUUCCCGACCUGCACCAAGCGAAUUAGAGACCGCCGCAAUAAAUCAAACCUUGCAUGUAUAUACAGGAUUUUGCAUAAAUAGCUUUAUGUGCUUCUACAUCUAUGAAAUAGAUCUGACUAACAAGAAGAGUAUUUAUAUAUGUUGAGAGAGAGAGAGAGAGAGAGAGAGAGAGAGAGAGAGUUUGCAAAUGAGAA